GGGGGCGUACUGGUUUCGACGGGGGUAAGACGUGUUCAGGUAGCGAGUCGAAGGUAUCCUGGGCCUGCGUUAAAAAAACGGGAACUAAAUAUAAACGCAAACAGAAAUAAUAAUUUAGCAUUCGCAGCUUAGGCUGCAGGCCGUCAGCCCGGUAGUACCACGGACCGGAACCUGGCGUCGACAGUGGUGAAACGAGCCUGAGUAAGCUUUGCCUCAGGAACGGAAUUUAUGAAGCUACUGAAAGAGGAACCCUGUUGAUAGGGGUCCCCCGGAGGGAAUGUUAAAAUAUCAACUGCACUCGGAGAAGCUUGGGCAUAGCUGCUUUCGGACAGGGGUUCAAUUCCCCUCGCCUCCAUCA
rnacentral:tmRNA from 1 species